rnacentral:tRNA from 5 species
GGAAUAGCUCAGUCGGUAGAGCACUGGUCUCCAAAACCAGGUGUCGGGAGUUCGAGCCUCUCUUCC